GUGCCAGCAGCCGCGGUAAUACAGAGGGGGCAAGCGUUAUUCGGAAUUAUUGGGCGUAAAGGGCGCGUAGGCGGCCUGGCAAGUGGAAGGUGAAAUCCCUCGGCUUAACCGAGGAACUGCCUCCCAAACUGCUUGGCUUGAGACCAGGAGAGGUGAGUGGAAUUCCCAGUGUAGCGGUGAAAUGCGUAGAUAUUGGGAGGAACACCAGUGGCGAAGGCGGCUCACUGGACUGGUACUGACGCUGAGGCGCGAAAGCGUGGGGAGCAAACGGGAUUAGAUACCCUCGUAGUCC
rnacentral:rRNA from 1 species